ACGGAGGAUGCAAGCGUUAUCCGGAUUCAUUGGGCUUAAAGGGCGCGCAGGCGGAAUGAUAAGUCAGUGGUGAAAUCCUACGGCUCAACUGUAGAACUGCCAUUGAUACUGUUAUUCUUGAGUACACUUGAAGUGGGCGGAAUGUGUCAUGUAGCGGUGAAAUGCUUAGAUAUGCGACAGAACACCGAUCGCGAAGGCAGCUCACUAAAUUGUAACUGACGCUCAGGCUCGAAAGCGUGGGGAUCAAACAG
rnacentral:rRNA from 1 species